rnacentral:rRNA from 1 species
AGAGUUUGAUCCUGGCUCAGAAUCAACGCUGGCGGCGUGCCUAACACAUGCAAGUCGAACGAGAAAGUGGAGCAAUCCAUGAGUAAAGUGGCGCACGGGUGAGUAACACGUGACUAACCUACCCUUGAGUGGGGGAUAACUGAGGGAAACCUUAGCUAAUACCGCAUAACACCUACGGGUCAAAGGAGCAAUUCGCUCGAGGAGGGGGUCGCGGCCGAUUAGUUAGUUGGCGGGGUAACGGCCCACCAAGACGAUGAUCGGUAUCCGGCCUGAGAGGGCGCACGGACACACUGGAACUGAAACACGGUCCAGACUCCUACGGGAGGCAGCAGUGGGGAAUUUUGCGCAAUGGGGGAAACCCUGACGCAGCAACGCCGCGUGGAGGAUGAAGUCCUUCGGGACGUAAACUCCUUUCGAUCGGGACGAUUAUGACGGUACCGGAAGAAGAAGCCCCGGCUAACUUCGUGCCAGCAGCCGCGGUAAUACGAGGGGGGCGAGCGUUGUUCGGAAUUAUUGGGCGUAAAGGGUGCGUAGGCGGUUUGGUAAGUCUUAUGUGAAAUCUAUGGGCUCAACUCAUAGACUGCAUGAGAAACUGCCGGGCUCGAGUGUGGGAGAGGUGAGUGGAAUUUCCGGUGUAGCGGUGAAAUGCGUAGAUAUCGGAAGGAACACCUGUGGCGAAAGCGGCUCACUGGACCACAACUGACGCUGAUGCACGAAAGCUAGGGGAGCAAACAGGAUUAGAUACCCCAGUAGUCC